rnacentral:rRNA from 1 species
GACGAACGCUGGCGGCGUGCUUAACACAUGCAAGUCGAACGGAGUGGCGAACGGGUGAGUAACACGUGGGUGACCUGCCCUGCACUUCGGGAUAAGCCUGGGAAACUGGGUCUAAUACCGGAUAGUGUGGGAUGGGCCCGCGGCCAAUCAGCUUGUUGGUGGGGUAAUGGCCUACCAAGGCGGCGACGGGUAGCCGGCCUGGGAGGGUGGACGGCCACCGUGGGACUGAGAGACGGCCCAGACUGCUACGGGAGGCAGCAGUGGGGAGUAUUGCCCAAUGGGCGGAAGCCUGAUGCAGCGGCGCCGCGUGGGGGAUGACGGCCUUCGGGUUGUAAACUCCUUUCACCAUCGACGCGGUAGAUGGAGAAGAAGCACCGGCUAACUACGUGCCAGCAGCCGCGGUAAUUC